UCAAGUGAUUAUGUGGUUAGAGCGCCUGAUUGUGGUUCAGGAGGUCGUCGGUUCGAGACCGAUCUUCCAC
rnacentral:tRNA from 1 species